UCGGGAAUCUUGCACAAUGGGCGAAAGCCUGAUGCAGCAACGCCGUGUGAGCGAGGAAGGCCUUAGGGUCGUAAAGCUCUGUUGUUGGGGACGAAGGGCGAAGGGUUAAUAGCCCCUAGCCUGACGGUACCCUUCGAGGAAGCCCCGGCUAACUACGUGCCAGCAGCCGCGGUAAUACGGAGGAUGCAAGCGUUAUCCGGAAUGAUUGGGCGUAAAGCGUCCGCAGGUGGUGAUGCAAGUCUGCUGUUAAAGAGUGUAGCUUAACUACAUAAAGGCGGUGGAAACUGCACCACUAGAGUACGUUCGGGGCAGAGGGAAUUCCUGGUGUAGCGGUGAAAUGCGUAGAUAUCAGGAAGAACACCGGUGGCGAAAGCGCUCUGCUAGGCCGUAACUGACACUGAGGGACGAAAGCUAGGGGAGCGAAUGGGAUUAGAUACCCCCGUAGUCC
rnacentral:rRNA from 1 species